GGACCUGGAGCUAAGUGGUUGCUCUUCCCUUCCCUCCCCUGGCGCCACCAUGACUUGCAGAUUUUUUUUCCCGCUCCGGGGAGGGACAGACCGAGGCGCAUGUGUGCUGGCGAUGGGCUCCGCGAAGCUGAGGACCGAGCUGCUGCCAUGUGAUUUGAGGUGUUGGCCAGGAAGGAGGCCAUGUUGGAAGGGGGAACUCAGGCUAUUAUUUUCAAUCUCCUGGGGAUGUUUUGGAUUCUGCACAGAAUUGUAAGGUUAAUCACCGGAAAUGGUGCUCUGAGCAGAAACAGAUUCUACAGUAUCCUGAUACAUUGAAAUAAGCGCGAUACUGAAGAUCUGAAAGAAAAGCAGAAAUUGCUGGAGAAACUCAGCAAGUCUGGUAGCAUUUGUGGAGAGAGGAGCAGCUAGUGUUUACAGUCCAGCGACCCUUCUUCGGAACGGAUACUUUUUAGCCUCUAAAAAAUCUUCAGAUAUGGAUAUGAACAUCACUGACUGGACCAGCACUUACUGCCCAUGACUAAAUUCCCAGAGUGCAGUGGGUCUGGAGUCACAUGUAGACCAGACAAGGAGCCGUCCCUCUACACCGUCAAAGCAGUCAUCAUCCUGGACAAUGAUGGGGAACGUCUGCAUGCCAAGUAUUAUGAUGAUGCCUAUCCUUCCACCAAGGAACAGAGGAAUUUUGAAAAGAAUAUUUUUAGCAAGACACAUAAAAGUGAUAGUGACAUUGCAUUCCUGGAAGGAUUGACCAUCAUCUAUAAAAGUUCUGUUGAUCUGUACUUUUACAUCGUGGGGAACUCCCAGGAAAAUGAGCUCAUGUUAAUGGCCGUUCUCAAUUGCCUGUUCGACUCUUUGAGCCAAAUGUUACGGAAAAAUGUGGAAAAGAAAUCUCUGAUGGAGAAUAUGGAUGGGCUCCUCCUUAUCUUGGAUGAGGUUGUGGAUGGCGGGGUCAUUCUGGAGAGUGAUCCUCAACAGGUCAUUCAGAAAGUGAAUUUCAGGGCAGAUUCUGAAUCAGCCUAUGGCUUUGUUCUGUUUGACUAUCUGACGAGCAGUGGGAACAGUGGGGACCAAGCCCACCGGCCUCUGAACUAACAGCAGCUAGAGCAGGUUGAUGAUACUCCUUUAACAGAGCAAAGUAUGGCACAGGUCCUUCAGUCAGCAAAGGAUCAGAUUAAAUGGUCGCUGCUAAAAUGAAGCAGGAAUCUUACCUUUUUUCUAGCUACCAUUUUUCUGCCCUUCCCAACUUGUCCAACAAAUCCAGAUCCAAACCAUGGCACAUGCAUGCAAGAGAUGGCAUCCUGGAUCACAACCCCUUCUCUACAUCUGACUGCUGGAUGAUACUCCCUGCUAUAUAAAUACAACUGCAGGAUGUCCUGAAGUAUGUUACAGCCAAUGAAGUUUAUUGUGGAAGCAUAGUUUCUGUUGUAAUACAGGAAAUAAGACUGCAAGUUAACACACAGUCAGAUCCCACAGUGUGAUAAAUGAUGUGAUCCUCUGUUAUGGGCUGGUCUCUUUAUUUGUUUUGUGGUGUGGGGGAUGUGGGAAAGAUUUUAUAGCCUGAAUUCUGGGCAAAUAGAAUGAGGUUUGCAAUUUUUGGAUUAGCAGCAGCUCUCCCCUCCCACCCCCCCACCAACCCCAUCUCCCGAAACACUUUUUUUUGUGUGGUUUUUUUUUGUUUUUACAGAUUUAUUUGUUCCUGGGGUAGACAGAGAUGCCUUCCCAUUCAAUAAAUGCUGUAAACACUACUCCAGUGUAGCAGUGGCAUGUGUGAAUCUAUAUCGCCCACCUCUGAGACUUGACCAGUCACUGUAAAUAACAUGGGUUUUACUUUUAAGGCUGACAGAUCUCUUGCAGAGCCUAAACCAAGCAGCAGCAAGUAUUCUAGAUCUCUGUCGGGUUGUUGAUCCCCAGAGAGUGAAGAGAACUUCAGUACCUUUCUCUGGGUCAAUGUAAUGUACACACUAAGCUUACAUAAGCAUCUGCCCAGGAGCCUUGAAACUCUGAGAUGGGUUGUGGCCUCUUUUACCAAAUGGAUACUGUAGUGAUUGUAACAGUCAGCCAGAUGGACUCCAAGGAAUGAAUUCCCUGAUUGGGGCUGUUAAUCUGUUCUAAUAAGGGAGCCCUGGCUGACAGAUAUAAACAGGAGAGUCAGGCAUCCUGAUCACUCUGGGAGCUGGCUCUUAGGGAGCUGGAUCAGUGUCAAUGACUUUCCACAUGUAAAUAAAGGUUGAUGUUGUGACAGGA